AUUGAACGCUGGCGGCAGGCCUAACACAUGCAAGUCGAGCGGAUGAAGGGAGCUUGCUCCUGGAUUCAGCGGCGGACGGGUGAGGAAUGCCUAGGAAUCUGCCUGGUAGUGGGGGAUAACGUCCGGAAACGGGCGCUAAUACCGCAUACGUCCUGAGGGAGAAAGUGGGGGAUCUUCGGACCUCACGCUAUCAGAUGAGCCUAGGUCGGAUUAGCUAGUUGGUGGGGUAAAGGCCUACCAAGGCGACGAUCCGUAACUGGUCUGAGAGGAUGAUCAGUCACACUGGAACUGAGACACGGUCCAGACUCCCACGGGAGGCAGCAGUGGGGAAUAUUGGGCAAUGGGCGAAAGCCUGAUCCAGCCAUGCCGCGUGUGUGAAGAAGGUCUUCGGAUUGUAAAGCACUUUAAGUUGGGAGGAAGGGCAGUAAGUUAAUACCUUGCUGUUUUGACGUUACCAACAGAAUAAGCACCGGCUAACUUCGUG
rnacentral:rRNA from 1 species